AAAAAAAAAAAAAAUAAUAAUAAUAAUAACACGGAAACCAAAGCUAAAAUUUAUAUAAGAUGAAUAUUUGUUAUAAUAGUUGAUUUAAUAAAUAUGAAAGAAAACAAAAAAAAAAACAAAAAACACAUUGAAUUUUUUUACAAAAAUGAUUCUAAUUUAUUUUCUCCUUGUAUAGAUAACGAAGGUGCAUUAUGUGUAAUUUCAGAUAGAGGAGACAUAUUUAGAUAUAAACUAAUAAAUUUAAAAAAAGAUGGUAAACGUGAUGAUUCCUCAACUAGCUCAUCUUCUGAUGAAACAAAAGAAGAUGAUGACGAGGAUGAUGAGGAUGAUGAUGAUGAUGAUGACGAUGACGAGAGUGAUAGCAAUAAUAGAGUUAUAAAAAUAAAAAAGCAUAAAAAUUAUAAUAAAGUAGAGGAAGAGAAAUACUUUAACACAGAUUUAACAACAGAUUGUUUGUGUGCCGAUAACAAUAAUAAUUUCUAUAUAUUCGAUCCUUUUACACGGAGUCUAAUGGUUAUCAACAAAGAAAAGAAACUAGAGCUUUAUACAGAUGAAUACGAAGAUAAAAGUUUUAACAAAAUAAAUAACAUGUUUUAUGACAGAAAAGAAAAUAUGCUAUAUAUUAUUGAUUCUGGAAAUAUGUUCGAAGACACUGAAUGUAAUUUUUACUAUAUAAAUAAAGAUGUAGAAACGAUGUUACCUAUUAAUAUACAAAAUGUAUCAUACAUUAAUAGUAUGUGUGUAUAUCAAAAAAAUAAUGUCUAUAUGAUAUAUGUAUGUUUAACAAAAGAAAAUAGAAUACUACGAUUAAUAAAAAAAGGAAACACUUAUAUGCAGACUGACUUUUUGUAUCUAAACGGAACAUAUUCUCCUGUAUUUAUUUGUACGGAUAAUACAAAUUUUGUUAUUUUACUAAAAGAUUUAAGUGGUUGUGAACAAAGAGGAAAACUUAUUGAAAUUAAUUCAAAUGCAGAAAUUAUUAAUUCCAUUUUUAUUAAUGGAGAUGCAUUUAAUGGAAUAUGUUAUGACUAUAAUUUGAGUAAAUAUUUUAUUAUUGAAAAGAAUGUUAUUUAUACGUAUUGAAUGGGGGUUGUAGAAAAAAAAAAGGUGGACCAUAGAAAAAGGGGGGGAAACAUAAAAAAAAGGGGGAACACAAAAAAAAAAAAGGAAGAACAUAAAAAAAAGUGACAUAAAAAGGUGAAAUAAAAUGAGGGUACAUAUGGGGAGACA
rnacentral:lncRNA from 1 species